AGCGUGCUGCGGCUGGGCUGGGGCGGAGAGGGAGAGCCGGUCCUAGCUUCUCGCCCUUUCUUGUCUCCCAGUGUCAUCUUGUCUUUCCACGUCAUCUUGUCUCUCCGCGUCAUCUUGUCUCCCCACGUCAUCGUGUCUCCUAUUGUCCAGUAGGGCGGAGGGGGAGGCCCAGAGGCAGGAUGAAAAACCACAGUCUGAGAGCUUGUAGAGAGUGCCCGAGAGGCCUGGAAGAGACUUGUGACCUGCUUUCACAACUGCAGAGCCUCCUGGGGCCACACCUUCACAAAGGUGACUUUGGUCAGCUCUCCGGUCCAGACCCCCCAGGUGAGGUGGGCAAAAGAGCACCUGAUGGAGCCUCCCGGUCCUCUCAUGAGCCUAUGGAAGAUGCUGCUCCCAUUCUCUCCCCGUUAGCUUCCCCGGAUCCUCGAGCCAAGCAUCCUCAGGAUCUGGCCUCCACCCCAUCACCAGGCCCAAUGACCACCUCAGUCUCCUCCCUAAGUGCCUCCCAGCCACCAGAACCUUCCCUUCCCCUAGAACGCCCCUCACCCGAGCCACCUGCACUUUUCCCUCACCCACCACACACCCCUGAUCCUUUGGCCUGCUCUCCGCCUCCUCCAAAAGGCUUCACUGCUCCUCCCCUGCGGGACUCCACACUCAUAACUCCAUCUCACUGUGACUCAGUGGCACUUCCACCGG
rnacentral:sRNA from 1 species